rnacentral:rRNA from 1 species
AUUGAACGCUGGCGGCAUGCUUUACACAUGCAAGUCGAACGGUAACAGGCCGCAAGGUGCUGGCGAGUGGCGAACGGGUGAGUAAUGCAUCGGAACGUGCCCAGUCGUGGGGGAUAACGCAGCGAAAGCUGCGCUAAUACCGCAUACGAUCUCUGGAUGAAAGCGGGGGACCGAAAGGCCUCGCGCGAUUGGAGCGGCCGAUAUCAGUUUAGGUAGUUGGAGGGGUAAAGGCUCACCAAGCCAACGAUCUGUAGCUGGUCUGAGAGGACGACCAGCCAAACUGGGACUGAGACACGGCCCAGACUCCAACAGGAGGCAGCAUGGGAGAAUUUUGGACAAUGGACGCAAGUCUGAUCCAGCCAUGCCGCGUGCGGGAAGAAGGCCUUCGGGUUGUAAACCGCUUUUGUCAGGGAAGAAACGCUCUGGGUUAAUACCUCGGGGUAAUGACGGUACCUGAAGAAUAAGCACCGGCUAACUACGUGCCAGCAGCCGCGGUAAAAC